rnacentral:rRNA from 1 species
UACGGAGGGUGCGAGCGUUAAUCGGAAUCACUGGGCGUAAAGCGCACGUAGGCGGCUUGGUAAGUCACAUGUGAAAGCCCUCGGCUCAACCGGGGAACUGCGUGUGAUACUGCCUUGCUUGAGUCCUGGAGAGGGCAAUGGAAUUCCAUGUGUAGCGGUAAAAUGCGUAGAUAUAUGGAGGAACACCAGUGGCGAAGGCGGCCACCUGGACAGGUACUGACGCUGAGGUGCGAAAGUGUGGGGAGCAAACAGG